rnacentral:rRNA from 1 species
GUAGGUGGCAAGCGUUGUCCGGAAUUAUUGGGCGUAAAGCGCGCGCAGGCGGUCCUUUAAGUCUGAUGUGAAAGCCCACGGCUCAACCGUGGAGGGUCAUUGGAAUCUGGGGGACUUGAGUACAGAAGAGGAAAGCGGAAUUCCAAGUGUAGCGGUGAAAUGCGUAGAGAUUCGGAGGAACACCAGUGGCGAAGGCGGCUUUCUGGUCUGUAACUGACGCUGAGGCGCGAAAGCGUGGGGAGCAAACAGGGAUUAGAUACCCUGGUAGUCCACGCCGUAAACGAUGAGUGCUAAGUGUUAGGGGGUUUCCGCCCCCUUAGUGCUGCAGCUAACGCAUUAAGCACUCCGCCUGGGGAGUACGGCCGCAAGGCUG